GACGAACGCUGGCGGCGUGCCUAAUACAUGCAAGUUGAGCGCUGAAGGUUGGUACCUGUACCAACUGGAUGAGCAGCGAACGGGUGAGUAACGCGUGGGGAAUCUGCCUUUGAGCGGGGGACAACAUUUGGAAACGAAUGCUAAUACCGCAUAAAAACUUUAAACACAAGUUUUAAGUUUGAAAGAUGCAAUUGCAUCACUCAAAGAUGAUCCCGCGUUGUAUUAGCUAGUUGGUGAGGUAAAGGCUCACCAAGGCGAUGAUACAUAGCCGACCUGAGAGGGUGAUCGGCCACAUUGGGACUGAGACACGGCCCAAACUCCUACGGGAGGCAGCAGUAGGGAAUCAUCGGCAAUGGACGAAAGUCUGACCGAGCAACGCCGCGUGAGUGAAGAAGGUUUUCGGAUCGUAAAACUCUGUUGGUAGAGAAGAACGUUGGUGAGAGUGGAAAGCUCAUCAAGUGACGGUAACUACCCAGAAAGGGACGGCUAACUACGUG
rnacentral:rRNA from 1 species